rnacentral:rRNA from 1 species
AAACUCAAAGGAAUUGACGGGGGCCCGCACAAGCGGCGGAGCAUGCGGAUUAAUUCGAUGCAACGCGAAGAACCUUACCAAGGCUUGACAUGAACCGGAAAAGUGCAGAGAUGUGCUCCCCGUAAGGUCGGUUCACAGGUGGUGCAUGGUUGUCGUCAGCUCGUGUCGUGAGAUGUUGGGUUAAGUCCCGCAACGAGCGCAACCCUCGUCCCAUGUUGCCAGCACGUAAUGGUGGGAACUCAUAGGAGACUGCCGGGGUCAACUCGGAGGAAGA